rnacentral:rRNA from 1 species
GAUGAACGCUGGCGGCGUGCCUAAUACAUGCAAGUCGAGCGGACAGACGAGGAGCUUGCUCCUCUGACGUUAGCGGCGGACGGGUGAGUAACACGUGGAUAACCUACCUAUAAGACUGGGAUAACUUCGGGAAACCGGAGCUAAUACCGUAUAAUAUAUUGAAGCGCAUGGUUCAAUAGUGAAAGACGGUUUUGCUGUCACUUAUAGAUGGAUCCGCGCCGCAUUAGCUAGUUGGUAAGGUAACGGCUUACCAAGGCAACGAUGCGUAGCCGACCUGAGAGGGUGAUAGGCCACACUAGAACUGAGACAAGGUCCAGACUCCUACGGGAGGCAGCAGUAGGGAAUCUUCCGCAAUGGGCGAAAGCCUGACGGAGCAACGCCGAGUGAGUGAUGAAGGUCUUCGGAUCGUAAAACCCUGUUAUUAGGGAAGAACAAAUGUGUAAGUAACUAUGCACGUCUUGACGGUACCUAAUCAGAAAGCCACGGCUAACUACGUG